rnacentral:rRNA from 1 species
GCUGGAAUCGCUAGUAAUCGCGAAUCAGAAUGUCGCGGUGAAUAUGUUCCCGGGUCUUGUACACACCGCCCGUCACACCAUGGGAGUUGGAAAUGCCCGAAGUCAGUGACCCAACCGCAAGGAGGGAGCUGCCGAAGGCAGGUCCGGUAACUGGGGUGAAGUCGUAACAAGGUACC